GAGUUUGAUCGUGGCUCAGGAUGAACGCUGGCGGCGUGCCUAACACAUGCAAGUCGAACGGUAUUUUAGGGGCUUGCCCCUAAAAUAUAGUGGCGGACGGGUGAGUAACACGUGGAUAACCUGCCUUAUACAAAGGAAUAACAUCCAGAAAUGGAUGCUAAAACCUUAUAAGCUCACAGUAUCGCAUGAUAAAGUGAGAAAAUAUUAAUAGGUAUAAGAGGGGUCCGCGUCUGAUUAGCUAGUUGGCGGGGUAAAGGCCCACCAAGGCAACGAUCAGUAGCCGGCCUGAGAGGGUGAACGGCCACAUUGGGACUGAGACACGGCCCAAACUCCUACGGGAGGCAGCAGUGGGGAAUAUUGCGCAAUGGGGGGAACCCUGACGCAGCAACGCCGCGUGAAGGAAGAAGGCCUUCGGUUGUAACUUCUAUCGACGGGAAGAAAAAAUAGACAGUACCCGAGUAAGAAGCACCGGCUAAAUACGU
rnacentral:rRNA from 1 species